AGAAUUUAGUUUAAAUAAAACCUAGGAGUGUCAAAUCUAUAAUAAAUGUAUUUUUAAUUCU
rnacentral:tRNA from 1 species